rnacentral:rRNA from 1 species
AUGAACCAAGAGAACGUUCCUGGUAACACGUGGCAAAAUCUUGCUGCCACAGCCGUAGCGAUGAGCGGCGCCGCCGAGCAGGAUAGUGGCUCCUCCGUCUGGCCGCCCCAUAACCUGCCUGCACCAAUGCUGACCGGAAGGCCACUACCUCAUACGUCCACUCUAGUUCCUGCCCUGCCCGGCAUCGCAGGAGAUUCUGAAGAUGAUGCUUCUAUUCAGUUUGCUCCAAGGGAUUUCUUGUCACUUGGAAGGGACUCGGAUGUUGCUGCCAACGACAUGGCCAUAGAUCCUUCAACAUUUCUAGCAGUUCCAGUUGAUUGCAGUUCUGAACAUACACCAAUACAUCUUCAGGCAAAUGGUUCAGAGGCAGAAGCACCCAGAAUUGGAUUCCAAGUAGAUGAUAGCCAACAAUCACCAUCAUCAGCAGCAACAGAUCUCUCGGAUAGGCACUGUAAAUUACAAUCAACUAUUCCUGCAAAUACUAAUAAUGAAUUGGCUUCACUGCUUGCUGAAGGCGUAACUGAUCAGAACUUGCAAACUUAUCAGCAGACACGAGAAAAGCUCAAGACACAGAGCCAACUGAAUGAUCACACACCUCUGUCAGCAGCAGCAGCUGCUGCAUUCAAAGAAAAUGAGGAGGCCCCUGCAGGAAAAGUGAAGCCCCGGAGGAAGAAACAUAGAGCCAAGGUAAUACGUGAAGACAAGCAAAUCAAGAAGCAAAAGCCUGCUGUUACAACACCAGAAGGAAAACCACCAAAUGCGAAAGCGAAGAGAAGUUAUGUCCGGAAGAAAAGAAAUCUCAGCUCUCUGGAGAAUUGCUCAGGACCUGUUAGCGACCAAUCAGUCUCUAUGGGAGCAGAAGAUGCUGCUAGAAGCAGAGCUGCAUCAGUCCGAAGAAGGUUGCAGUCCGAAUUUUGUGAACAGGGAGUGCUGAGAGGCAAAUCAUCAGCUGGCAACUCAGGCCACCACGUUGAGGAAAUACUCAUUCAUGCUAAAAGCUCUUUCUGUUCAACCGCCACUUUAUCAACUGCGCAGGGUGCACAUGGACUGCAUGUGGACAUGGAAAAUUCACCAGGAGGAUUAGCUUUUGGCAUGAUUUGCGAGAUGAACAAACUGUUAGAUGAGUACAUACAUUUGCCAGAGAUGGCAAUAAACUGUACACAAGAAGUUUCACCUGCAACUUCUGGAUGUUUUAGCAGAGAGCCAACAAGUAAACAAGACAGUGUAGGAAGCACUCAUGGUCUUGAUGCCACAAGGAUUGGGGUUACCAUACUGGAAGGGAGCAACAAGGGCUUGGAGGUGAACGACUCUAACGAAGCUGGUUUUGCUAUGCAUCACUCAGCUACGUCUGUACCUGCAACAAGAUCCACAGAAAGUCAGAUGACCAAGGUGUCGAGAGUGGAGAAAAAGAAGCAUGAACAACGUAGAGAGAGCAAGUCCUCUCUAGCCGGCUCACGGGACUCGAUCAUCUUAAGGACUGCCGCUCAGAUGCUAGGAUUUUGUCAAGCUGGUGGUAUAAAAAAGAAGCGAACGGUCCGAGUCCGCAGGAUUUCGUAUGUUCCUAUAAUGAAUGUUGAGAUGAAUAGGGCAAACGUAUUGCCACGGUUAUCUCAGUCAUGCCUGGAGGCCCUGUAUGGAAGACCCAGUUUUAAACUUUUUACCAAGAAACGUUCACGAAGGGUACGACGUCAUUACCGUAGAUCAGAGGGAAUUUUUCAGCCUCCGAAUAAUAGAAAAUUCUACCAUGAUAUUUAUUAUGAAGGAACAGGAAAAAGGUCACAAAACUCACGAUAUAUGUCAACUCCAUAUAUGGAUUUCCAUCACAGAGUUGCAUCAGGGCUGAAAUAUCUUGAUUUGAACACCGAACCUGUACAUACAAAUGAGAUGUAUCCAUCUGUGACCACAUCCGCUGUUGUCCCUUUUGGAGCAACAGGUAGUCUAUCAAAAUCUCUUGUACCAUUUGGUAGUCAGAUGAUCUUCCCAUAUGAGUGGCCGUUAGAUUUAGUCAAGAAGCAGCGCCCUCGAGCUAAAGUUGACUUGGAUUUUGAGACAACAAGAGUUUGGAACCUCUUGAUGGGGAAAGCAACUGAUGAGCCUGUAGAUGGGAAUGAUGUUGAGAAAGAGAGAUGGUGGCAACAAGAAAGAGAAGUUUUUCAAGGCCGUGCUAAUUCAUUUGUACAACGCAUGCGACUAGUUCAAGGCGACAGGCACUUUUCUCCAUGGAAAGGAUCAGUAGUUGAUUCCGUAGUAGGGGUUUUCCUCACCCAGAAUGUGUCUGACCAUCUUUCCAGCUCUGCAUAUAUGUCACUUGCUGCAAGUUUUCCUCCAAGGACAGUUAAUAGCAAUUGUAAGGAUAAUAUUAUCAGUCAAGACGAUGAGGAAAUAAUAAGCACGGUUGCAGUAGGAGGGGUAAGAAUCUUUGACUUUUUUGACAACGGUGCAAGACCAGAUCUACGAGAGAACUUUGAGGAGCUGUCAAUAACCAAUGAGAAGAUACAUGUAGAAACAAAGAACAAUGCUAGUGCUUAUGAGUUGACGAAAGGUGAAAAUUAUUCCUUCUACUCCAAAGAAGCAAAUGCAGAUUUAUGCGACCACCAAGAGGCAGAAGUUGACCCCAAAGCACAACAAUUUCCAGAUUUCUCCAUCGAAUUAAUAACAUCAGAAAGAAGCUCACGAGCGAUACAGUUCCAGAAGGAUAUGUCAUCUUCUCAAAGUGUUAUAAUUUCGGAAACUAUUUUUCAGUCAGAAUUAUCGAGUUCUGGGGAUAAUCAUUCACCUAACAGUUCUGUUGGUAGCGUCGAUGGUGCAGCUUCUCAGCAGCUGGGAAGCAAUUUCGAUUCAUUAGCAGGAAAUGAUGCCUCAACCAAGGAACUUGAAUGCCAAAGAAUCAAAACAACAACUGUAAAUGAUGAUGGUGCAAGUCAGCAUGGAAUUCCCUCUACUUUUGAAGCAUCAGAUUUCCAGGAGCAUGAAUCACUCUCUAUCACUGGUGGAACGGUAGCAGAAACAGCAAACACGGUGGAUGAAUCUACUGUCAAAUCUGGUUUUCCUUCCUAUAAUGGAGGACCAGAUAAAGAAGCAAGACCAAAGAAAACAAGAACCACAAGGAAAGAAAAAACUGAAAACUUCGAUUGGGAUAAACUUCGAAGACAGGCUUGUGCUGAUGGCCACAUGAAAGAAAGAAAGUCUGAAAGAAGAGACUCUGUUGAUUGGGAAGCAGUACGGUGUGCAGAUGUACGAGCAAUUUCUAGCGCCAUCCGGGGACGUGGAAUAAACAAUGUUUUGGCAGAGCGAAUCCAGGAGUUCCUGAAUCGAUUGGUCAGAGAUCACGGAACCAUUGAUCUGGAGUGGUUAAGAGAUAUCCCCCCUGACUCAGCAAAGGAUUAUUUGCUUAGCAUACGUGGACUGGGGCUCAAAAGUGUUGAAUGUGUUCGUCUACUGACAUUACAUCAACUCGCAUUCCCUGUUGACACCAAUGUUGGCCGCAUAUGUGUAAGACUGGGAUGGGUUCCUAUUCAACCCCUUCCUGAAUCUCUACAACUACAUCUCCUCGAGUUAUAUCCUGUGUUGGAGACUGUACAAAAGUACCUUUGGCCUCGUCUAUGUAAACUUGAUCAGAAAACACUGUACGAGCUACAUUAUCAUAUGAUCACUUUUGGGAAGGUGUUCUGUACCAAAACAAAGCCAAAUUGCAAUGCUUGUCCAAUGCGAGGUGAAUGUAGGCAUUUCGCAAGUGCCUUCGCGAGUGCACGGCUUGCACUUCCUGCACCUCAGGAGAAAAGCUUGGUGAAGCCGAGAAAUCAAUUCAGUUUCCAGAGUGGUAGCAUGCCCUCUCCGAACUCAACUGUGCUUCCUCAGCUUGAGGAAAGUACCCAGGGAAAGUUUUUUCACACUAACAAUUCAGAGCCGAUUAUUGAGGAGCCAGCAAGUCCUUCACGGGAAGAACUUCCAGAAACUUUGGAAACUGAUAUUGAAGAUUACGAUCCAGAUGAAAUCCCACUAAUUAAGCUUAACAUGGAAGCUUUUGCUCACAACUUGGAAAACUGUAUUAAAGAAAGCAAUAUGGAUCUCCAGUCUGAUGAUAUCGAGAAAGCACUUGUUGCUAUUAGCACUGAAGCAGCUUCAAUUCCUGUCCCUAAACUAAAGAACGUGAGCAGGCUUCGGACAGAACACUAUGUUUACGAAAUUCCAGAUUCGCACUCCCUUGUGCAACAGUUUGGACUUCAUCAACGGGAAGAUGGCGAUCCAAGCCCUUACCUAUUGACCAUAUGGAUGCAAGAUGACAUAAAUGCAAUGAUCAAGGCCCCCAAACCAUGUUCUGACUUUCAAAGGGAAGAUGGAUUUUGUAAUAAUGAGAAGUGUCAGCAUUGUGUGCUUGAGCGGGAAAACCAAUCUAGAUAUGUCAGAGCCACGAUUCUGGUUCCAUGUCGAACAGGUAUGAAGGGUACUUUCCCACUGAAUGGCACUUAUUUUCAAGUUAAUGAGGUAUUUGCUGACCAUAAAUCUAGCUAUGAUCCCAUAUACGUUGUAAGGAAGGACUUAUGGCCCUUGGAAAGACGUAUGGUCUACUUUGGAACUUCGGUGCCUUCUAUAUUCAAAGGUCUAACAACUGAAGAAAUACAGCAGUGCUUCUGGAAAGGAUUUGUCUGCGUGCGGGGAUUCGAGAGGGAAACCGGGGCACCAAGGCCCCUAUGCCAACAUCUGCACGUCGUAGCAAGCAAAGUGCCCAGACGACGCAACACAGCAGCAGCAGCAGCAGCAGCAGAGCAGAACUUGGAUUCAGCACAGGCGUCAGCUUCAUAA